AGUAACACGUGGAUAGCCUACCUAUAAGACUUGGAUAACUUCGGGAAACCGGAGCUAAUACCGGAUAAUAUUUUGAACCGCAUGGUUCAAAAGUGAAAGACGGUCUUGCUGUCACUUAUAGAUGGAUCCGCGCUGCAUUAGCUAGUUGGUAAGGUAACGGCUUACCAAGGCAACGAUGCAUAGCCGACCUGAGAGGGUGAUCGGCCACACUGGAACUGAGACACGGUCCAG
rnacentral:rRNA from 1 species